UACGAAGGGGGCUAGCGUUGUUCGGAAUUACUGGGCGUAAAGCGCGCGCAGGCGGCUAUCCAAGUCAGUGGUGAAAGCCCGGAGCUCAACUCCGGAACUGCCAUUGAAACUGUUGAGCUUGAGGACGAGAGAGGUGAGUGGAAUUCCCAGUGUAGAGGUGAAAUUCGUAGAUAUUGGGAAGAACACCGGUGGCGAAGGCGGCUCACUGGCUCGUAUCUGACGCUCAGGCGCGACAGCGUGGGGAUCAAACAGG
rnacentral:rRNA from 1 species